GAUGAACGCUGGCGGCGUGCCUAAUACAUGCAAGUCGAGCGAACAGACGAGGAGCUUGCUCCUUUGACGUUAGCGGCGGACGGGUGAGUAACACGUGGAUAACCUACCUAUAAGACUGGGAUAACUUCGGGAAACCGGAGCUAAUACCGGAUAACAUGUUGAACCGCAUGGUUCAACAGUGAAAGACGGUCUUGCUGUCACUUAUAGAUGGAUCCGCGCCGCAUUAGCUAGUUGGUAAGGUAACGGCUUACCAAGGCAACGAUGCGUAGCCGACCUGAGAGGGUGAUCGGCCACACUGGAACUGAGACACGGUCCAGACCCCUACGGGAGGCAGCAGUAGGGAAUCUUCCGCAAUGGGCGAAAGCCUGACGGAGCAACACCGCGUGAGUGAAGAAGGUCUUCGGAUCGUAAAACUCUGUUAUUAGGGAAGAACAAAUGUGUAAGUAACUAUGCACGUCUUGACGGUACCUAAUCAGAAAGCCACGGCUAACUACGUG
rnacentral:rRNA from 1 species